rnacentral:rRNA from 1 species
UGACGCUGGCGGUAUGCUUACACAUGCAAGUCGCAACGGUAGCAUGUUAUGUAGCAAUACAUAAUGAUGACGAGUGGCGGACGGGUGAGUAACGCGUAGGAAUCUGCCCUCAAGCGGGGGACAACCCGAGGAAACUCGGGCUAAUACCGCAUAAUCUCGGAAGAGAAAAGCUGGGGCAACCUGGCACUUGAGGAGGAGCCUGCGUCCGAUUAGCUAGUUGGUGGGGUAAAAGCCUACCAAGGCGAUGAUCGGUAACUGGUCUGAGAGGAUGACCAGUCACACUGGGACUGAGACACGGCCCAGACUCCUACGGGAGGCAGCAGUGGGGAAUAUUGGACAAUGGGGGCAACCCUGAUCCAGCAAUACCGCGUGUGUGAAGACGGCCUUCGGGUUGUAAAGCACUUUAGUUGGGGAAGAAGUUUAGUAUUUUAAGAGAUAGCUAAAUUGACGGUACCCAAAGAAUAAGCACCGGCUAACUCUGUGCCAGCAGCCGCGGUAAU